rnacentral:rRNA from 1 species
GACGAACGCUGGCGGCGUGCCUAAUACAUGCAAGUCGAACGCAGUGGGGACGGGUGAGUAACACGUGGGUAACCUCCCAUCAGAGGGGAUAACACUUGGAAACAGGUGCUAAACCGAUACUGAUGGAUGGACCCGCGGUGCAUUAGCUAGUUGGUGAGGUAACGGCUCACCAAGGCCACGAUGCAUAGGCGACCGGAGAGGGGGCUGGGCCAAACUGGGACUUAGCACCGGCCCGUACUCCUACGGGGGGCAGCAGGAGGGAAUCUUUGGCCAUGGACGAAAGUCUUACCGAGCAACGCCGCGUGAUGGAAGAAGGUUUGCGGAUCGUAAAACUCUGUUGUUAGAGAAGCGGGAUCUAACCAGAAAGCCACGGCUAACUACGGGCCAGCCGCCGCGGUAAUUC